AAUGAACGUUGGCGGCGUGGAUUAGGCAUGCAAGUCGCGCGAGAAACCUCCUUCGGGAGGCGGACAGCGGCGAAAGGGAGAGUAACGCGUAGAUACCUACCCUGGGGACUGGGAUAGCGGUGGGAAACUGCCGGUAAUACCGGAUAACGUCUCCGGACCAAAUGGUGUGAUUCCGCCCUUGGAUGGGUCUGCGUCCUAUUAGCUAGUUGGAGGGGUAAAAGCCCACCAAGGCAAAGAUGGGUACCGGGUGUGAGAGCAUGGCCCGGCUCACUGGGACUGAGACACUGCCCAGACACCUACGGGUGGCUGCAGUCGAGAAUCUUCCGCAAUGGACGCAAGUCUGACGGAGCGACGCCGCGUGCGGGAUGAAGGCCUUCGGGUUGUAAACCGCUGUCAGUGGGGAGCAAAUCCAUAAGGGUUCUCUCUUAUGGUUGAGCUAUCCGCAGAGGAAGCGCAGGCUAAGUUCGUGCCAGCAGCCGCGGUAACACGAACUGCGCGAACGUUAUUCGGAAUCACUGGGCUUAAAGAGUUCGUAGGCGGCCUGAUCAGUCGGGUGUGAAAUCCCUCGGCUUAACCGAGGAACUGCGCCCGAUACUGUCAGGCUAGAGGGAGACAGGGGUGAGCGGAACUGAUGGUGGAGCGGUGAAAUGCGUUGAUAUCAUCAGGAACACCGGUGGCGAAGGCGGCUCACUGGGUCUCUUCUAACGCUGAGGAACGAAAGCUAGGGGAGCGAACGGG
rnacentral:rRNA from 1 species